AUUGAACGCUGGCGGCAGGCCUAACACAUGCAAGUCGAACGAGUGGCGGACGGGUGAGUAAUGUCUGGGAAACUGCCCGAUGGGGGGGGAUAACUACUGGAAACGGUAGCUAAUACCGCAUACCCUCGGAUGUGCCCAGAUGGGAUUAGCUAGUAGGUGGGGUAACGGCUCACCUAGGCGACGAUCCCUAGCUGUGCUGAGAGGAUGACCAGCCACACGGGAACUGAGACACGGUCCAGACUCCUACGGAAGGCAGCAGUGGAGAAUAUUGCACAAUGGGCGCAAGCCUGAUGCAGCCAUGCCGCGUGGAUGAAGAAGGCCUUCGGGUUGUAAAGUACUUUCAGUGAGGAGGCGGUACUCGCAGAAGAAGCACCGGCUAACUCCGUGCCAGCAGCCGCGGUAAUUC
rnacentral:rRNA from 1 species